rnacentral:misc_RNA from 1 species
UACAUUUUGUUUGUUCACUCAAUUGGUUAUUUACUAUUAAUAUCAUUCCAAGGAAAAAUGAAAAAUAUCACAUCAGGUGAUCAUAUACAUUGCGUACUUUGAAAGGACAUUUAAAGUGGCGCGCGAAUUCACCCGGUGAAUGUUUUUCGUUUACUUCGAUUGGCAGGACUGUUCGGAAAAUUCGGAAAGUGAACAGGUGUUUUUUGAAUGGAUUAGCGAGAGAGAGAGAGAGAGAGAGAGAGAGAGAAACAGUAGGCGAAAGGAUGCGUAGAGUUUCGGUGAAUGGUGAACGAUCGGCGGCGAAUUGAAGGAAAUUUACAAAUGAUUAAGGUCCUCAAAGAUAAACAUGAACACGGAUUCAGAUUCGGUUUACCAAUGAAAAUGAGGUGAGUCCUAGGAACGAAACCUCAGUUCUAUAAGAACGAUGUGUUCCUGUAACCUUGCAAUCCAAUAAGAAGAAGAUGUGACAUAUAACAGUUUUAGUAUGACCACCAGAAACAAUCCAUUAAUUGAUAAAAGAAAAAUGAUAUCAGCUUGGUUCCCAUGGCACGCAUACAUUUGCUUCUUCCUGUAUUAA